GUUUAUCAUAGGUGUGUCGCAUUGUCUUUGUGCCAUGGGGGUUCGGUCGUGGGUGUUGGGGUUGUUUGGGGGGUGCUCCCAUGGUUUUUGUGGCGAGCCUGUCUGUCUGUCAUUGACUGCAGGGACACCUUGUCUGCUUUUGUGUGUCUGUGCUGUCUCUGCGAUCGGUGGAUCCUCCGGGUUCUCUGGGUGCUUUGUUGUUCUGGAGUUGUCCCGUCUGAUGUCUGGGUUCUGUUGGUGUGCGCAUUUGGCCAGUGCUGUGGUCGGCUUGGCAUUCUUAGUGUCUUGUUUGUGCUCCCUUAUCCAGAGUAGGAGUUUGGCUG
rnacentral:lncRNA from 1 species